GACGAACGCUGGCGGCGUGCCUAAUACAUGCAAGUCGAGCGAAGUUUUUCUGGUGCUUGCACCGGAAAAACUUAGCGGCGAACGGGUGAGUAACACGUAAAGAACCUGCCUUAUAGACUGGGACAACUAUUGGAAACGAUAGCUAAUACCGGAUAACAGCAUUAACUGCAUGGUUGAUGUUUGAAAGUUGGUUUUGCUAACACUAUGAGAUGGCUUUGCGGUGCAUUAGCUAGUUGGUGGGGUAAAGGCCUACCAAGGCGACGAUGCAUAGCCGACCUGAGAGGGUGAUCGGCCACACUGGGACUGAGACACGGCCCAGACUCCUACGGGAGGCAGCAGUAGGGAAUCUUCCGCAAUGGGCGAAAGCCUGACGGAGCAACGCCGCGUGAGUGAAGAAGGAUUUCGGUUCGUAAAGCUCUGUUGUUAGGGAAGAAUGAUUGUGUAGUAACUAUACACAGUAGAGACGUUACCUAACCAGAAAGCCACGGCUAACUACGUG
rnacentral:rRNA from 1 species